rnacentral:rRNA from 1 species
GACGAACGCUGGCGGCGUGCUUAACACAUGCAAGUCGAACGGAAAGGCGCCUUGCUGGGUACUCUGGUGGCGAACGGGGGAGUAACACGUGCGUAACCUUCACUUGCCUUCGGGAUAACGUCAGGAAACUGGGGCUAAUACCGGUAAGGAAUCCUUUCUUCAAGGGGAGGGUUGGAAAGCGUCGGCGGGUUUGGAUGUACUCGCUGGAUAUCAGCUUGUUGGUGUGGUAGUGGCUUACCAAGGCGUUGACGGGUAGCCGGCCUGAGGGGGCGACCGGCCACCUUGACACCGAGAGACGGCCGAGACUCCUAAGCGAGGCAGCAGUGGGGAAUAUUGCCGAAUGGGCGGAAGCCUGAUGAAGCAACGCCGCGUGCGGGAUGACGGCCUUCGGGUUGUAAACCGCUUUCAGAAGGGGCGAAGCUUGUGGUGACGGUACCUGAAGAAGAAGCACCGGCUAACUACGUG